UAUAUGUACAUAUAUUAUUAUAUGUUCAUAUAAAUAAAUUAUAUAUGUGUGUAUAUAUUUAUAUAUACUUUUAUUUAUUAAUAUAAUAACAACAUAAUAUAUUAUAUUAUAUAUAUUAUGCAUGCAUAUGAUGAUGUCAGGUGUCUAGGGCACCCUAGGGUUUGCAUGUGCAUGUGAUGUCAUGUGUCUCUCAUGAGCUAGGGUUUCACACACACUUGAUUUAUAUUCUAAGGCAUUGCAGGAGGAGUGAUAACAGUAGACUACAGAGGAGUUGUUUUGGCGCAAACUCACAUAUACUGACGCCUUCCCUUCCUGUGGCGCGAACUCAUCAGGAGAGAGAACAGGGAGAGUUACACUCUAGCGCAAGUUUACCUCUUUUGGAAUAUUGGCUAAGUUAUAAAGGAACUUGCGCUCAUACUCUUGUACUGUGUACAAGGGCGCAAGUUUAAUUUUAACUUAGUUAAAAUACAUGUCCAACACAGUGAACAUCAGUGAGGCGCAACUUUGGUAGCGCAGGUUGAAGGAGGCGCAAGUUUGUGGUUUUGGAGAGAGAACAGGGGGAGUGUUUGUAUGCAGGCGCAAGUUCCUUUUCCUUGGAUUUAUUCUAAGUCAUGCUAACACUCCGUGAACAUUAGUGGCGCAAACUCAUGCAAGAGCGCAACUUCAUCCAGGCGCCAACUCAAUUCUGUUAACUAGGGUUAGUUAAUGAGAAGCCUAUAAAUACUUGAGAUGUGGGUUCAUAAUUUACACACACUCUUCACCACCUUUAUGGUGGAAUGACUUUGUGCCUUGCACACUACUACACACAAAUAAAUCAUAGCUUAGUUUUGUAAUAUAUAUAUAUUUAGAAGCUAGGGUUUGUGAGUGUACGUAGUAGUGGUCAUUGUAGCCAACCUUCGGGUUUGGAUUUAUAGCACCCUUCGAGGUAUUUAUCAAUAUACAGAUAUACCUUGGAAAAUAUUGUGUGUUGGUUUAAUAUUUUCAUAUCCUCAGAAACCGACCCAAUAAAUAUCCGGAACACGAAACCCAUUACAGAACUGCAAUUUGUUUAUCCGCAAGAUUCGAAAGAAUUUUAAAUUGUAGUGAGUAUCGUAUUCAACCCCCCUUCUACGAUACUUUGGACCUAACAGUCUGAAGUGCUUGUCCUUGAUUCACAGGAGAGAAGAAUGCUGGAGUGGUGACAGCCUCAUUAGGUGAGAAAUCUUCAUCACUUUGCGAAGGGGUAUCGUUUAUUAUAAUGCCAUCACCUGUGACUUCCAGAAUUCUGACUUUCCAUUUUUUGCGGAGGAGGCUGAUUGUCCUUUGAAUGUUUAUUUCUUCCAAGUAACUUGUUUCAAUUAGGAAUUUGGGAUGUUGGUAAAAACCUUCAGCAUCGUAGAUUUUGCUAAAGAGUAAAACAUUCCCACAGUCUCGUAUUAGAUCUCUGAAGUUGCUCUCCGUCCAGCCCAUUAUGGGUAAUCCCCUAACUUCAACCCAGGCUUUCCUUGAGGGCAUGAGGUCCUCUACAUUAACUUGCCGUACUUCCACAAACCCAAUCUGCAAGAAUUCCAUAUCCAACGAUUCAUAGUCCACUUUAUUAGCAAAGAAAGCUAUAAAAGUGGUCCCUGUAAUUCCACGAAUUUGCGCAUUAUGAGCCCCCAAUCCCUCUGCUAUCAUCCGCACCGUGUCUAUUGUCUCAUUCUUUACUGUUCGUAUAAAGAUGCUUGACUUGAUGACAUUGGACAUUUCCUCACUUGGGUUUAUAGUAAGUUCUGUGUGCUCCCUCAUUUGAUUGUAGAUUGGUACUUCCUCGAUCUGCACAUGAUCUCUGACUUGUGGAUGGGCAUUUGUGCGUGCCUCUUUAUGACUCAGCUUCGAGCUUUCUUGUGGAAGCGCCUCUUGCAUUACAACAUUUGAUCCUUUGGGGGAAGAUAAUAUUCCUUGCACAGGAUGAGUCCUUGUGGAGGGUGUGCAUUUGAGUUCUGGACUGUGUUUACCUGGCCUAGCAGUCUUAGACGGACCUGAUGAAGUAGAUUUAUCCUUCGCUCUUGAUAGUUUGCUUGAAAAAUUUCCAGAGAUCUUUGGGAUGUGAAUUUUCCUGGAAUCCUGUGAAGAAUACUGUAUGCUCAGCUUUUUUUGUCCGUAUUCCAUAGGUGCUUCCAAUUGGCCCUCUUGUGUUAAAGUUAUUUGCAGCUUUCGUAGUCUUCACGUCCUCCUGUUUUUUCUCAUGAGAGUGUUGUUUAAGGAGCACAUCUUUGAAGCUCCCCUGUUGAGAAAUGUUAUCGUUGCUGUUGUUAUCCAUUCCGGCUUCCAAAGAGUGGAAAUGAAUCUGCCCUAGUGCUAGAGAGAUUGCUUUGUCAUUUCCAAGCAAGGCAUCGUUAAGGACUGAUGGUUCAACAAAUUGUGCAAAACCCUUCAGGAAUGAGCGAGUGAUGUCUAGGAGAUCAGAUAGUUUAGUUGAGCCCCUUUCGGAAGGACCACUGCGAUGAUGCUUUUCCGUUAGUGAAUUGUAGUGGAUUUGAUUUAGGGCCAUUCUGAUACCUUCAGCGUCUCCCGAGGUUGCCAAAUGUCUAGUGUUUGGGUGGAUUAGCUCAGCAUUCGCUUGUAGGAAAUUUAUCAGGACGGUGUCUUCUUUGUGGUUCGUAGAUGCCCCUUUUACUUUCAGAUUUUCGGCACGUGCCCACCACCCUUCGUUGAAGAGGAAUCUAUGGAUUGCCCAUAGAGCUUCCUCUUCCCCUUUAAGUCCCUCCUGAAGCAAUCCAGGUUCAAUUGCGUCCUUCAAGUAGUCGAUCCGGGCGAGAGCUAUUGGGACCAGGCUAUAGUUACCCUUCUGAAAUGAUUCAGCCAUUCCAUGUUCCAAAAGGAACCAGUAUUUGCAGGCCUCAAUUGCCCCCUUCUCUAGUUCCUGCAAAUUGGGGGUUUGAGGAACCCUAGUUUGAGAUUGAUCUUUGGUGUCUUUGUUGGUGCUUUGACUAUUCCCAGUGUCCCCCUUGUUGAGUAGAGUUUCAGCUGCUUUGUCUGUGCCACGUGAUCCUAGUGCUGUGUUCCCGGUGUAAUAAUCCUAAAACAAAUAGGAAUAUAUUUAAAAAAUCAGGUUCAAGGAUUUCAAAAGUUAAUACAAUUCUUUUCUUUUUA